UAACCGUAGGUGAACCUGCGGUUAGAUCAUUAGCGAAAUACAAAAGAAAGCUCUCCUUUCCCUCUGCCUACAGAGUUGCCGCACUUUUUUUUCACCGCCCUGUAACACCGGUCCUCCCUCUUUGGAGGCCCCCUUGCUCUCUUUAUAUAAAGUUUUUCUAAGCAAACAAGCAUAUGGGUUACAACUUUUUACAACGGAUCUUUUGGCUCUGGCUUCGCUGACGAACGGAGCGGUAAGCAAGCGCACGCUUCUGAACUUCCAUCAAUGUCUGCCAAACCC
rnacentral:misc_RNA from 1 species